CAGCCCUUUGCGGUGGAAGGGUGGCCAGGGCCUCCCUCCUCUGGCAGGGAGAUCUGUUUUCUUUCUUGAUCCUCUCUGCUGUUAGCACGAGGGUAUUGUUUGUUUGUUGGGGAGACCCUGUAUUCUGGUCGGGCCUGAGCUCAUUACAUGACCCAUUCUGGCUCUGAGCAAUCCUUCCUCAUCUCCUGGGUGCUAGAAUGACUCAUGUGACCUCUGUGCUGGACAGCGCUAGAGCACCGGGGUUCAAUUCCCAGCACCCACAAGGUGGUUCACAACCAUCCUUAAUCCAUUUCCAGAGGAUCCACUUCUGACCUCCACAGACACCAGGCGUGCCUGGGGAACACGCAGAACCACAAAUACCCCGAGAGAGUUUCAUUGUGGUCUACAUUCUGGAACACCUUUGAGGACCACAGCUGGUGACGUCUGAGCGGUUGACAGCGCGUCCCUCGUUUGGUUAAUCCUUCUCCACGGUGAGAAGACUCCGGCUUUGAGGUCUUGACGGGAUUACGUUUUGUUGUUUUUUUGUUUUGUUUUAGUGCUGGGAAUUGAACCUAGAGACUGGGUGUCAGGCAAACGCUCCGCCACUGAGCUACGUUGCCGUUCUUGCUUCUUUGAAGGACAGUCUCGCCUGGAGUUUGUGCUCUUCCUGCCAGCGCCCGAGGAGUGACGGAAUCUCAGGUGUGUGCUGCACACACCUGCUAUUUUGCAAGUAGAUUUAGGCUGUUUCCAGCUGGUGCAUGACGUCAGCCUUAUCCCAUUGUUCGUGAUGUUAAGUUAGAUUCACGAUUGUGGUAGAAUCUAGUUGCUGUCACUCUAUAAUUUUCUGUUUUGUAAUAAAA